rnacentral:lncRNA from 1 species
CCAGAGGACGGCGAUCAUGUCCGAGUCGGCGAGCCUGUCGUCGCCUUGCAGCGAGAGGAGGACGUCGGUGAAGUCCACGACGGCGGGUGGGGCGGAGCUGAGGUCGUUCCGGGCGCGGUGCUCGUCGAUGAUGCCGCCGACGAAGCGGUUCACGCGCGGGACGAGGCGGUCGCACCUAGCCCGGGUGCCCUGCAGGUCGAAGCGCGCGAGCCAGGGGAGGUGGUCGGACCAGUUGAGCUGGCCCAGCAGGUCGUAGCCUUCGUCCACGAGGGCCCUCAGCUCCCGCGUCUCCGGGCUCUCCUUGGCGGGGUCCAGCUCCAGGUCGUACCGCUGGCCGAACACCGACCACAUCACGUUGUGCAGGGACCCACGGCGGAG